rfam:Treponema saccharophilum DSM 2985 Tsacc_Contig219, whole genome shotgun sequence.
GCCCGUGGCCAUAGAGGGGAGGAUCCACCCGAUCCCAUUCCGAACUCGGAAGUUAAGCUCCCCAUCGCCGAUGAUACUGCCGAAAGGUGGGAAAGUAGGUCGCUGCGGGCU